GACUUGGUAGCUCAGUUUGGUAGAGCAUUACACUUUUAAUGUAAGGGUCCUGGGUUCGAGACCCAGCCAGGUCACUA
rnacentral:tRNA from 3 species